CCCGCGCAAGCGGUGGAGUAUGUGGUUUAAUUCGAUGCAACGCGAAGAACCUUACCUGGUCUUGACAUCCCGGAGACCCUUAGGAAACUAGGGGGUGCUUCCAUCUGGAAGAAUCUGGAGACAGGUGCUGCAUGGCUGUCGUCAGCUCGUGUCGUGAGAUGUUGGGUUAAGUCCCGCAACGAGCGCAACCCUUGCCUUUAGUUGCCAGCAGUUCGGCUGGGCACUCUAAAGGGACUGCCGGUGUUAAACCGGAGGAAGGUGGGGAUGACGUCAAGUCCUCAUGGCCUUUAUGACCAGGGCUACACACGUACUACAAUGGCCGAUACAAAGGGCAGCGACACUGCGAGGUGAAGCCAAUCCCGUAAAAUCGGUCUCAGUCCGGAUUGGAGUCUGCAACUCGACUCCAUGAAGUUGGAAUCGCUAGUAAUCGUGGAUCAGCAUGCCACGGUGAAUACGUUCCCGGGCCUU
rnacentral:rRNA from 1 species